GGUUUCUUAGUGUAGCGGUUAUCACCCUGGACUUUAAAUCCAGUAACGCGAGUUCGAAUCUCGUCGGAUCCU
rfam:Haemonchus placei strain MHpl1 genome assembly, scaffold: HPLM_scaffold0003044